UCCAGCAGCCCAAAACUUCACCAAUUCCAGUCCCCACGCUGUCCGAUAAUAAUCAUCUAUACAUUAACACAAUUCUGUAUAAGACUCGUAACCAAUACCAACUAAUUAGAAUCGAAAGGAUGAGAGAGAACUUAGAUAACAGAGAAUAGAAAAUCAAAACAUGAGCUUUAUCUCCACAUCGUCUCCUCCUGCUACCACCACCAUCGUGACUGGACUAACCUGGUAUUCAGUGACUGAUGCACUAUGGGAAGGUCGGUCGUGUCAGUUGGGUCCUUUUUAUGGCUCAACAAUCACUGACAUCCACGUUAGACUGCUGAAUUGAGUAAUGAUCUGGUGGGUGAUGCUCAGCAUUUUUCCAAACAAUUAGACCAUUACUUAGUCAGUCAGUCAGCUUUUAUUUGAACUUGGAUGAUGAAAAAUAAAGUUUGCUUUGUCAAAUUUACUUGAUAUUGCUAGAUUAGAUUGUCUUAUAGCAUUUUAAAUAGCUCCUCCAUACUGAGGCUAAGUCCUAUG
rnacentral:lncRNA from 1 species